AGAAAGACUCCUGAUUGUGGAUGAAGAGAUCUGAGGUUUGGUCUCUGGUGCCAUCACUCAUGAGGGAACCUUGGGUUCAUCUCUAGUCAGCUUCAGGUUCCCUUUCCAAGAGAGUCAGGAAGAAAGUCCAGCAGGAGCUUUGCCAGUUCUGACAUUCUCUCACGUGAAUACACACAGCUUGCAUGGCAGCAUUCUGGUCUCAUGUCUUAGUCACAAAGGUACUCCACUGUAUCAGAAUAUUUUCCUUGGCUGUGACCUCAGGCCAGGCCACAGGUCAGGACAGAAGAUAACACAGGGACCAUAUUGCUAUGGAGAAGAAAACAAGAAGCUAUCUGUUUUUCAAACAUAGAUAUGGAAUUAGGAAGUGAGAAAGAAAUGGAAUCUGGACUAAUCCAUUGGACUGGCAUGAUCUACUGGGGCAGUUGUCUUGAACAUAUCAGUUCCAGCUGCUGAAACACUGGGACCAUAGAGCGGUGAUGGAAAUAAGAAGAUGAAGGUCAAUUAGGACCACGGUGGGGUUGGGGAAGACAAAGACUUUGGUUUCUGUCCUGUAAGCCAUAGGCAGCUGAUGGGAUGUUCAUUGCAGGAAGGAUUCUGGAACUGAGUUUCAGAAUGAGCAUUCGCAGGCUAUGUGAAAUCACACACUACAGGCUAGGAGUGGUCCAGGAGGCAAAAGCAACAGAUCAGGGAGAGGUCAGAAGCCUGAGCCACGGGCUAGGAAAGAGAAGGACGUGGGCAGCAGAAUGGCUACAGUUUGGGAGUUAUCUGGACACCAGGGUAGCAUUCUGGUCAGUUUUAUAUCAAUUUGGCACAAUCCAGAGUCAUUUAGAGUCAGACUCUAAACUGAGAAAUGCCUCCCUAAGGUUGGGCAAUAGGCAAGUGUGAGAUCUAUUUUUAAUUAAUGCUUGAUGUGGAUGGAAGUGGCAGUGGGGGGUUCAUCUGGGUAGUAUAAGCAAGCCAUGAGGAGCAAGUCAGUAAGCAGCAUUCUCCAUGGCCUCUGCUUCAGCUGCUGCCUCCAGGGACCUGCCUUGAGUUCCUGGCCUGCCCUCCCUUACUGAUGAAACACGACCUGAAAGUUAUAAGG
rnacentral:lncRNA from 1 species